AACGCACGAGACCUGCGGACCUGCGGAAGGAUCAUUAUUGAUUUUUAAAGGAUGUGCUGGCUCUUCUGGAGCAUAUACGUGCACUCCUAACAAAAAGCCAAUAUCCACCUGUGCACCUUUAGUAGGCAGGAAAAGACCUUGCCCAAGGGCUUUUUUUGUCUAUGUUUUUUUUAUCAUAAACCCCUGAUCUAUUUGAAUGCUUAUACAAACAAAUCGUAUUUUGUAACACAACUUUCAACA
rnacentral:misc_RNA from 1 species